GACAGAGGUGCCGAGCGUUAGGCGGAAUCACUGGGCUUAAAGCGUGUGUAGGCGGACUUCUAAGUACCUUGUGAAAUCCCCGGGCUCAACCUGGGAACUGCAUUUGUGACUGCAUCGCUGGAGUACGGCAGAGGGGGAUGGAAUUCCGCGUGUAGCAGUGAAAUGCGUAGAUAUGCGGAGGAACACCGAUGGCGAAGGCAAUCCCCUGGGCCUGUACUGACGCUCAUGCACGAAAGCGUGGGGAGCAAACGGG
rnacentral:rRNA from 1 species